rnacentral:misc_RNA from 1 species
GCACAGAUGCAAGCACAUCACUCAUACUGUUGCGAGAUACCUGCUCGGCGUGUGCACGUGCACGACCCACCGCCGCCCACGCCGUUUUCUUUUCAUACCACGGCUCCUCUUCUUUUCUCUGCGGUUUGCCUCUCUUGCGGCCGACCGCCGAACGAUCCUCCUUAAAUGGCCUUCAGCUCCUGAGGAGCACUGCGUGUGCUUGAUUGCUGUGCCGAUGUGGUGCCGCUCAUCUUGCCUCUCUCACUCUCUGCGCGUCUUUCCGGGCGUGAAGAACCCGAUCGGUGCUUUCCCCGCUACUGAGUCUCCACUUUACUUUUCCAUCUCUCUCUCUCUCUUGACCCUUUCCCUUCCUCCCCAACCCAAGAUCACCGGUCAUGGCUGACUUCCAUGUCUUCAUGGCAGAUAACGCCGUUGCCAAGGAUGAGCCCAUCGCGGGGUGCCGGGACAUUCAUCAGUGCCACUAGCCGUCGUCCCAGGAGCGCCAGAGAACCGCGCACGUCAGGUCUGUCCUGGCUGUUCUUGAGUGAGUGCUGCUGAGCAUAGCGCAGCCUGUUCCUGAUUGCUGUGCUGGAGGCGCUGGUGGGGACUUGGAUGGAUGGAUGGGUGAAUGGAUGGGUGAAUGGAUGGAUCAAUGGAUGGGUGAAUGGAUGGAUGGAUGGAUGGGUGAAUGGAUGGAUGGAUGGGUGAUGGAUGGAUGGAUGGAUGGGUGAAUGGAUGGAUGGAUGGAUGGAUGGAUGGGUGAAUGGGUGAAUGGAUGGAUGGAUGGAUGGAUGGGUGAAUGGGUGAAUGGAUGGAUGGAUGGAUGGAUGGGUGAAUGGGUGAAUGAAUGGAUGGAUGGAUGGAUGGGUGAAUGGGUGAAUGAAUGGAUGGAUGGAUGGGUGAAUGGAUGGAUGGAUGGGUGAAUGGAUGGAUGGAUGGAUGGAUGGGUGAAUGGGUGAAUGAAUGGAUGGAUGGAUGGAUGGAUGGGUGAAUGGGUGAAUGGAUGGAUGGAUGGAUGGAUGGAUGGAUGGAUGGGUGAAUGGAUGGAUGGAUGGAUGGAUGGAUGGAUGGGUGAAUGGGUGAAUGGAUGGAUGGAUGGAUGGAUGGGUGAAUGGGUGAAUGGAUGGAUGGAUGGAUGGAUGGGUGAAUGGGUGAAUGAAUGGAUGGAUGGAUGGAUGGAUGGAUGGAUGGGCUGCGCACUGACAUGAACGCAUUGCCGCAGCAGGAGACGGACAUUCGGCUCAAGUCGAGCUGCAAAAUGUGGUGCUAGCGUGUGGGCAGGAGCUGCACGAUGCAAUGGUGCGCGGCAUCGCCAAGGCGCUGCGCGUGCAUGCGAGCGAGAUCGAGGACACAACACGGCUCCUCUCCUAGAACGCGGAGGGGGACUGCCUACUGGCGGCACGACGGGAGCUGGUGAAGGCUGGCGUGCUGGAUGGCGUGAAGUGCAUCUUCGGCAUGCGCGUGUCGCUGCUGAUUCCCAGCAGCUGCAUGUCUACCGUGCCGGACACCAUCACAGCUGGCGGCGAAAACUUUGCGCAGCGCGUGUGCGGCCGUGGUGGGCAUGCGCCGACGCCGCAGGUGCUUGUGGACUCUUUAUUGAUCGCGGCCGGGGGAGAGGGGGGCUUGUGACGGCGCCGCACUGCGUUAUGUCGCGCAAUAUCGACCCAAAGGUGCUGCCUGCGCUGUCGAUCACGACGAGGACGACUGUGUCGAGCGAGAGUCACAACGUGAUCCCGGACGAGGUGGCGAUGCGGAGGACUGUCCGCUUGUGUAUGUGCGAGGCGCGUGAGUCUGCGCCUCGGAUGCUUGAAUAUGUCGCGACGGGUGUUGCUGCUGCGCACGGCGCGACGGCCGAGUUUCGCCUGAUCCGUGAGUACGUCGGUACAAUGAGCGAUGCAACAGGAGCUGCUGCGGCGCGUCGCGUCCUGGGCGAUGACAAGUAGAUUCCUCUUCUUCAGGCGAUGCUUUUUUGGCGAGGGUCUCUCCUCCUAUGUGGAGGAGACUCGCUUGCUCUGGCGCCUCCGUAUCCUGGCUCUCUCCUCAGGCCAGCAAGGGCGUGUGCCCCCGUCCCAGCGAUGAAGCCGACGUUUUCCCUUGUGUUUUUGCCAGCUUGAUGUACUUUUGUGCGCUGUUCUCGGGGACGUGACAGUGCGGCGAGGGCGGGGGAGGGGAGGUGGUCGAGCGCGCUCUCCUUAGCCCAUCGCAAGCGCUUGUUUUUGUGCGUGUGGGUGCGCCUUGUCGUUUCCAUUUCGUUGAUGCAAAGGCCCCCACCCCCUCACAAGCGACAUCAUGGGCGGCCCCGUCCCUCUUUCUCGUUAUUUCUACUGCCCGUGUCUCCAGAGCACGCUCCCCCCUCUUCAUACCUCAUGUGCCCGUGUAACUAUCUGUGCUCGAAGGAUGGGCGUCCCCGCACAUUCGUCAGCAUACAAGCAC